GUUAGAAUAGUAUUUUCUGAAGAAAGUACGGAUAAAAAAAAAUUAUUAUUUUAUUGAAAAAUGUGUAAUUGAUAACAAGAGAGAGCUCCAGAAGCAUCACUAUUCUCUUUCUUAUGUUGUCCUCCAACACUAUUGACGACUCUAGACCUGAAAUAAGUUCCAUCGGGAGAGUGGAAAAUUCAGUAAUGAAUUAUUAAUUACAAAAAGAAAGAGUCAAUAUAUAGCUUAACACAAUUUAGACAAGCCGUGAAAUAUGAUUAUCAACAUUGUUACAGACUAACUAGAAGCCAAUUUUGCAAAAUUUCCAUGUAAACAGGCUCAAGAAAGCCAAGAAAUAUAGAAACUGCUCCAAGAUUAGUCAUCCUAGUCAUGUGUGCAGGAACCAUCUUGUGUCACCGGAGAGUUGACGAGUCCAGGUAUUGGAUAGAUUGGUUGAAUCAUCUCUCAAAGAAUUGGCGAGGCCCUUCGUUGCAGUAGCGUAAUUGGCGGAAAUAGAAAGUCGACUGCAAGUCACUCAAGACAUCUGGGUUAAAUAUGUGACAACAUUAAGGAUCAUCGUCCUAUCGAGAAGUGUAAAUUCCUAUAUUGGUGCUAGCAAACCAAAAGAACCCAAAAAUUUUACUGAAGAAACAGAAGAUGUUUGAUGUCUAAGGAUCACCGAUGCAGAACCACCGCCAGAAUUCCCCUUAACGGCCAAAUUCCCGCCCAUGGAAAUAGCAUUGGGAUUGGAUAUUUUAGAAUGAACUUCACUGACCAUAGCCAUCCUGACAUUCUUACAAAAAAGCAUUAAGAAGAAAAAAUUAAGCACAAGAUAUCAAAGUAUGCCAAAUUGUUACGACCAAAAUAGUAAAUUAUGAAUAAAAUAAUGUUCAAAUCCUGGACCGGUUGUGUUCCUCAACAACCACACUAAACGUGGGACGCCGUUUCAAUAAUUGCUGUUAGUUUUAAAGAAAUAUUUACAUGAUAAUAAAUUUCAAAGGCAAGUGGAACUUGUUGAAUCUCAAAAUAUAAUCCGUGAAACUUGCCAGCUAAUAGCAAAGCAUAAAGCAAUACGUGACGGAAC
rnacentral:lncRNA from 1 species